GAAUAGCACAAUCGCCUGGCGGAGAACCCCCUCACACCCCUAUCAUCCAAUAAAUAGAAAAAUCAAUUCAAAAGUGCCAUUUCACGAAAAUCAGCCCCCCCCCCUUGCCUUCACAUCGUUCCGGCGUCCCUGAUCCAGGUGCUAUAUUUUAACGUAUUUGUUACCAGAUUAUUAUUAUGAUUAUUAUUAUCGUUACCAAUGAGAGGUUUUUUCGAAACUUUACAAAGUAUUUGACAGUACUAAUUCCAUGGAUAUGCGCUCACAUGGUAUACUAAAAUACGUGAUGUGCGUUGAAGC